AUCUCAAUGGCAUUUGAAGGUAACAAAACAUCCAUGGAGUGAGUGAAUCUGUGUAUUGUUACCAGCACCAAAUCCCUUGAUGCAUUCUCAGUAAGUUAGAAGUUGUAGCAUGUCGAAAGCUGUGACAAAGAAGGUGUGACAGUUAAAAAGGAAAUAUCAAAAAUAAAGUAAAAUAAAUCUUUGAACAAGCUGAACUCUAAAUAAUUAAAACUCGCAAAAAGUGUAAGAAGUGAAGCAGAAAUAAUUGUUGGUGCUAAUAUUUAAAAGCUAUGAAAUGCCUGCAUGUGUCCAGGCAUCAUUUUCUUUUCUAAGAUGUCAGAUUUCACAUGACAGAAAGUUAUCACCCCCAGACUGGUAUUUUUGGAACUGCUCAGUGUCUGUCUAAUCAGUUGGUGAGAGUAGUUAACAAUUGCAAGCCUCAUGCCUGGAAAUAAAAUCAACGUGAGUGUUCCUGCUGUUGGCUGAGUUGGGCUGGGGGUGGGCAGGUUGGUGGUGGACAGUGCUGGGACCUUCAGUGCCCAGCAGAUGCCCACUUUACCCACUGCAAUAUGCUUUUAAUCAUAACUUGCUUUCUAUCCCUACUAGCGAGGAUUUGAGUGGGUCAGCGGGAACACAGAAACCCAAACAGUAAGCGGUACCCUGGAUUUUAACCUAGAGGCAUAACAGCCAUUUCACUCUAUAAAUCUAUAAAUAUUGCUACAAGCCUUUUGUUGUAACAUUGCUGGAAGAGCUUUUAUUUUCAUAUUGCAAAAAUAGGAAGAAAGUGUUGGAUUAAGACGACGGCGUAGCCAGCAGGAACAAGGGAGAGUAGCGGCACUCUGUGACAGCAGAAAUAAAAGCACAAGCAGGGAACCACACUGCAAACCAUACCCACCAGAAACUACUAAAAAUGAGGAGCUGCCCCAUGCAGGCUGGAGAGCUGCCACCUGUGGAGACAGAGAACCCUGGAGCUGCACAGGGCACAGCUGUGGAGGGCAAGCUGGGGAGUCACGCUGUGCUUGUGAGGGAAGGAGAGCUGGGGGAGCAGGGGAUGAAGUUUCUAAGCCUUGCAAUUUUGCUGUGAUUUGUUCAGGAUGGGCUGCUCACCCGUGAAGCAGGAGAUGGCUGCUUUUUUCCUGCUUUUUAUUUCUUUUCUUACUUUUUUGUUUUUCUUCUCUAUUGCUGCAGAGCUUUUGUCAAGUCAGUGAGUUGAAACAUUCUCCAGCAGGGUCAGACAGGAGGUACAGACAGCCCAAAAAGGGCUUCUCAGAGGGGGACAUGGGAGAGGCAGAAAGAGGGAACAGGGAAUGGGAGAAGCUGCGGGUCUGGUGUGUCCCAGCUUGUGCCCCUUCCUCCUGAGCCUGGUGCUGCAGAGGAUGUGUGGGUGGUCAUGGAGCUGAGGCCUCCAGGUCCUGCUGUGGGUGUCGAUGGCCUCAAAGCUGUCAAAGUUGUGAGCAUGGCAGGUCCUCUUGGCAUCCACAGCUCCCAUCCCAAAUAGGUGUGCUUGAACACUUCCCAACCACUGUUAAGAGAGGGCCAGUGGAGACAGGGUGUGCAGUAUCUACCAUGAUUGCAGUGGCUGCUCUGGUAGCUGUGUGUUCCUCUGCUUGUUAAUCCCCACUGUCCUCACUGUUGAUUUAAAUACCUAUAUGUGACAUUUGCAGACUAAUGGAGCACGGGGACCCAGAAGGAGCCUCUGAAAGGUUGUCUGAUAUGAUCCACAUAAAUCAGAGCCCAUUCAUUCUUGCACAUGAUCCCCUGCCUGCGUAGACGUGGCUUCUGCAGCAAAAAACAGAGAUAAGUAGCAAAAGCUGCUCAAGGAGAAGCCUCAUUGUACAUGUUAUGACAGUCGGGAGAGGGAUUAAUCCUGGCAGUGUUUCCCUUGUAUUUGUUAAGGCGGAUGAUACACAGUGACAAUGGCAGCUGCUCCUUUCCAGAGCGCUGCUGGGGAAACCUUACCUGCAUGUUCCUUCAGAGGUGCAUAAUGCAUCAUUCCCAGCUCACAGGGGUGAUCAAACCCACAGGUGACAAACACUCCUGUGGCACCACACAUAAACAUAGCACCUGAUUAGCUCACAUUUUGAAGAGCCUUCUCUGGAGGAAUGUAAAGCUGUGAGUGUCACGGUCUCUGUGAGGGCAGCACAGACAUGUCCCCUUCCAUGUUCAUGGAUCAACAGCCUUUCCUGGAGUACGUAGCUAAACUCUUUCUCUAAACUUUUGUUUUCAUAAUCUGCAGAGAAAGAGCAAGGCUUUUUUCCUGCCUCAUUAAGUGUGUUGGCUUAGUGCUUGUGUGUAGCUCAGCUAAGGCAAAAGAGAGUUGGUACACUCAGAACAGCACUCGAGAAUCUUUGGGCUACUUGAGGAAAAAGUGUUUCUCAAUCACUCCUUUUGAACCCACUGCAUUUAACAUAGAAGUGCUAAACAUGAGUGGAAUGAGUGGAAAAGAAUAAAGAGCUUUGAUUUCUCAACGCUGUUGAUGAAUGUUGGUGGUGAUGGGAACUCUGGGCUAAUUGUAUCUAUGUUGGGGAUUUUUUUUCCUUUCUUUUUUUUCUUUCUUUCUUUCAUCCCAUAAUUGAACAAGCUGCUAAAAGAACCUUAGGAUUAAAUAUUGAACAAGAUGGUUCCCGAGUAACUGUUGCAGCUAAUGCACCAGAGAGUUGUCCAAGUUUUUGCUACACUUGUGGUGUUUAGGGAAUGCUCUUGAUAGGGAUUUGACUCUCCUUGCUGUAAACACACAGCUGUGAGCAACAGUUGGAAGGAUGGAGAGGCACUUUACCUGCACGUCAAGCUAUUAACCCUUUCUGGAUUGCACAGAUUCCCCUGGGAGGAGAGAGUGAAGCUGUUUAGUUCUCCUUACAGGGGGGAUUCCCUAGGAACAGACAGUCCUACAGCAUUCACUACCUAAGGCUGACUUACCAUCAACAAAAGCUGAGAGACGAAAAGAAACACAAACAACUGAAAGAAGGUGAAUAACAAAUACCACAAAUUCCAUCACUGUCAUCAAUAUUGAAGUACUUUGCUGAAACAAAAUGUUACGAAGGAAAUUGGAAAUGGACAUUUAAAGACCAAAAAUUCACUGGAUUUUCUCCCCAAUUUGAUUGUUGGUGAAGUUCAAUGCUGAGUUCUGCAGGAUUGACUUGGAAAUGCUUCCUUUUGACUUUGAUGCCUGGUUACUUGGAAAGCCCAACAACAGCAUGGAUUUAAGAAUCUGCCUUGUGAUGGCCUGUGCCAUGACUUCAGUUCAGCAAGAACUGCCUGCUUGUGCUAAGUGCCUUCAGGUAGGAUUGAGUGGCUCAGUUAUCCUGCUUUAUGUGACUGCUUGAGAGAAGACUACAACCAGUCUCAUCUGCAAAAUGAAGCUCAAAUUCUGUAUUUAUUCUAGCCCUGUAUUGACUGCAGUGGGGGUAUUAUCAUUAUAUAAAUGGUGACAAGAGGUUUUCACCCAGAUUAUACAUGUGCAAAAAAACCCAUACAUUAAGCUAGAACAUCCAUUUCCUGAAAAUAUGGCACAGGAGAAGAGAGAGAACUGGUGUGGGUGUGAACCCCACACCUGCAUUUUAGAAAGGCACAUUAUACCUGUCCUUCCACCCAUCUGUUCAUCACCCAAGGAAUCCUGAGAGCUUUUUUGCUCUGCUUCCUGUGCCUAUGGAAACAGAAAAACUAAAGGAAGAUGGAUGACUUCUCUGUGAAAUUUCCUUCCAGGGAACUAACUGCAAAUUGCAGCGGUUAUUAAUACUAGUAAUUCAAGUCUAAUCAGGGAAAAAAAAUAAUGGAAAAAGGGAAGCUAUGUCAGGAAGGAGAAAAACUCUCUUGUCACCUGGGAUAAGGGGAAUCAAAGCUGAAAGCAGAUGAAGAUUGCUACACAAACAGGGAGGAAUACCUGUAGUCGAUGGUCACAAACAUGGUACUUGGGGGCCACUUCUCAAAGCUAAGGAGCUCCUUUCUGCUUCUGAUAAAAACAUGCAGCUAGAAAAGGGUAGCAAACAAGGCCUGUGGACAUUCAUGCUCGACUCAUUCCCAGGGAUUAGGAUUAAAACCAAGUGAAGUUACUUUGUUUAUCCCCGUUGGGUACUACCACUAAUACUCAGUUCAUCAGUGCAGCACAGCUCCCUGCUGAAUUGGGAUGAGCUGGCUGAGUCAGCUGACAGAAGGAAGAGAGAAAUCGAGUUUGGCAGCAGCACAGACUUACUUUGGCUUAAGGUAGAAGAAAAUGUUUGCUCUUUCCAAGUGACCUAAAAGCAUCUGGAAAAGUGAAGAUAGAGGAUUGGGGUCACAAAAACUCCAUGUGGGUUUAGCAUCCUUGAAAACGCCAGGAACAGAGUAAUUGGAUGACUGGUACAGGCUGUGGAUGCAGCUCUUUCAUCACUGCCCCCAGUGAAUGGAAUUCUUUCCCUUCUACAUUUAAAUCUAACACAAACCUUCAGGUUUCGCUGUGGAUGGUUUCACCUCUGAGCUGAGCAGCAGCCUGAGAGAGCUUCACCUCUGCUGGCGUAUGGAAAACCUGCUGAGGCUCCAGGAGGAGUGAUGAGGGUGCCUGAAACACUCGUGGUGCUGCAGGGACAAGGACACAGGAGGGCCACACUCAGAAACCAGGAUGAGAGUCCCCACAAGGAAGGUUUUGCUUCACAUUUUGACACCAUCAGGUGUCUAAUACAACUGUACUAGAUGGGAGUGAGGUCAAGUGGGAUUUCCUGCUUAAAAUGGAGGUGUGAAGUCACCAAAUGUGCUCAAUAAUAUGCAGUGUCUGAGUUAAGAGGUGACUGCUACCAUAGAUAUCAAGCUCUUCUGGAAGUUCUCUGUUUCCUGUGGUGUUUCUGGUUUGGAGCAGCCCUGGACAAUGUCAGAGAUGAGGUGUCACCACUUGAAGAUCUCAGGAAGGACAAGUCGAUUUUGAAGGACUGAUAACUCCAGGCUUCAUGACAGACAAAUCCUUGCUCUCCCCAGUUCCUUGGAGCUGAAGGUGCUCACCCACACUGACAGUUUAGACCCCCUGGCAUCGCGCCGAGGAGCUGCGGAACCGGAGUACACGUGGGGCCCAGCUGGGUGUCCAUCACUCGCCCUGCCAGGGUCCCUGCGGGGAAGGCUCUGUGGGGGCCGCGGCUGCGGGGGCCACACAGACGUCACCGCGGUUGGGAUGGAUCCAUAGGGAUGUGUGUCCCUUGUGACUGAUGCCGGGGACCUGACUGCUGUGCGGGAUGUGCCUGUCUCGGGUUUGGGGCUCGGGGCUCUCUGCGAUCCCGCGGCU